rnacentral:rRNA from 1 species
UACGUAGGGCGCAAGCGUUGUCCGGAAUUAUUGGGCGUAAAGCGUGCGCAGGCGGUUUUGUAAGCCAGAUGUGAAAUCCCCGGGCUCAAUCUGGGAAUGGCAUUUGGGACUGCAAGGCUGGAGUGCGGCAGAGGAGACUGGAAUUCCUGGUGUAGCAGUGAAAUGCGUAGAUAUCAGGAGGAAUACCGAUGGCGAAGGCAGGUCUCUGGGCUGACACUGACGCUCAUGCACGAAAGCGUGGGGAGCAAACAGG